CCAUUUUGCCCACGAUCUCUCCUCUUCCUCCACGAUAUACUGAUGGGAUUCAACAAACUCACUAACUCUCUAUUUACUUCGUCCUCCACUAAAACCCCAAAAAUUUAAACAACCGAGAUCUACGAGAACGGAGAAAACGAAAGAGACAAGAUCUACAGAAAACAAAGGAAAAGAACUGUUGGGAGAAAGGUUCGUAUUCCAAAUUUCAUUCGCCAGUCAUGUCGCUGGAUUAUUACAUUUGUUUCCUCUUUCCUGCACAGUUCAAUAGGUGAAAGUUUCUUCAUGUCAAAAGUAACUACACAGCAUUACCAUGGGUCCAUGGAGAUGAAUUUUCUUAAAGACUCACUCCAACACAACAACAAGACAUGCAGAUCCUUUGUUUCAGCACAAAACAUCUUAGGAGUAAAGCAAAUUUAAAGGAAGGAUUAAAGAUUAUUCACACAUGAUAAAAAAAAGAAGGCCGACGAGAUGAGGAAUAGUCAGAGUUGAUUUCUACCUUCCCAAGCAAGAACGUCAAGAUUGUGAUUGUUUUUGGUACUUAUAUACUUUGGAAAAUUAAUCAUAUAAAAUUACAACACUUUUGUGAAGAAGUUAAUGAUCGUUUAAAACAUCUAAACAUUUUUUAGC